UGAGCUUUUCCUGCGCUGGAAGAGGAAGGUGCAGCUUUCCUGAGCUACCUUACCCUUAACCGGUUUGUGGAAGUUUGGAGGUUCCUUUUCAACUGGAGAGCGUCUUAUGUUGACAGUGAUGUAGACAACUCUGUACCACCUUACCAAGAGACUGGGCUCUCCGAUCCACUGCAUCAAUAAGGACAGAAACAGUCUCGGCAAUGGGCCUGCCAGCUUUAUUAAUCUCCCUGUGUCUACUCAAAGUCACCAGGCUUCAUCUUCUUUCCUGACAAGCCUCUCAGGGUCAUUGUAAAAGGAGGAUGGAGAGGAAUCUGAAAAAAAUCACAGCAAGUCACUUGGGAGUGGUGUGUCAUGCCCGAUUGCCGUACAUGUAGGAAGCUGCUGCCCUCUGUCUGCCCUG